CCGAAAGAUUUCGUGUGUCCGCAAUGCCACGAAAAAUCAGGGGCAGCCGAAUGCCUUCUAAUCAGGAAUCCAAGCGAAUGUUCGCUGUGGUAGUUUUACUGUGGAACCCCAGUGAUGAUGGGGAGCGACGGGUUAAAAAUGACAAGUUUCAAUGACUGCUCUUCAAGGCACAAACAUUAAAGUCGAUGAGCAUCGCUACGCCUCCACGCAGCGUAUUUCAUAGCGGUAAAGGUGUCGUAGAUGCCAUCACACAGCUGUUGUGCAGUUUGGAACGAGAGUGGUUUUAGCCGAUGACUGUGACAUUUCAGAAUGUAAAUGGCCGCGAGGAAGCAAAGGCGCCAGUCUACUGUUUUAUCGCAGAUUCGACGGUGAGAAGCCUCCGUCCAAAACAGUAAAACCCACCGCUCGUAAGAAUGCAGCCUCCAAGGGAUCGCCAAAAAGUCCUCUAGCAAGACCUCUGCCUACCGAUAAAACCACUGCAACAGCAUCGGAAGCUCCAAAAAAUGCAGUUGCAAAACGUGCGACUGGUAAAAGGCAGAAUGUUGUCGGAAAGCAAUUAUCGACUUACAGAAACGAGGCUUCAAACCCAUUGCCUGCCUUUUCGAAUCCCGAUUUGUCUUGUUAUGCUAACUCAGAUCUGCAAUGCCUCCUCAGUUACGAGCCGUUACGAUGUGCUCUAUCGAGUUCAGCAGAUGAAACAGCUUUGAAAAGACUUGCUACAGACUACGUCACUGCAGCAAAUAGAGGGAAAAAGCUCACUUCUUUCCAUGUGCGUCAGGAAGUAGACUUAAUGUCUUUCGAUGGCCACCAAAUACCUUACGCUGAUCCCGCACAACAAGAUGCUCAAUUAUUCUUGGUUUCCUUGAUUAAUUGCCAUGCUAUCUUAAACGAACAUACAAAAUUUACUGUAUUGUAUGAGAGAAAGUGUGGUUUCAAUAUGUGUGGGAAAACCAACAGGUCGGAGCCACAAUUGGACAACGUCUUCAGACUGCCCACUGUUCACAGCCACAGAACAAUUGCUGAACUGUUGGAAAUCCCAUCGACUUAUCAAAAUAUCGAGGAUU
rnacentral:lncRNA from 1 species